rnacentral:rRNA from 1 species
CUCGUGUCGUGAGAUGUUGGGUUAAGUCCCGCAACGAGCGCAACCCUCGUUUUUAGUUGCCUAUUUUUAGUAAACUCAAAAGACUGCCGGUGANAAGCCGGAGGAAGGUGAGGAUGACGUCAAGUCAGCAUGCCCCUUACGUCCUGGGCUACACACGUGCUACAAUGGCCGGGACAAAGAGAUGCAACCCCGCGAGGGCAAGCCAACCUCAAAAACCCGGUCUCAGUUCGGAUUGCAGGCUGCAACUCGCCUGCAUGAAGUCGGAAUCGCUAGUAAUCGCUGGUC